CAGCAGUACUUCCUGGUUUAAAGGCGCCGGAAACAGGCUGUCCCUGAGGGAGCAAGUUCUUAUGCCACUGGUGUGGGUUUGCGAUGCCGAGGACGCCCUCUCCUUGAGGGGCCCAGUGACCCUCCGCGAUUCCCUAGGGCCUCAUGGCUUCCCAGCUCCGCCCUUGCCCUCUUCCUGGACGCGGGGCGUCGGGGCCUCGACUGUUAGGUACCAGAUGUCAGUUUGGCAGUGCCGGGGGCCAUGGCGCCUCCUGGGGACUGGGAGGACCCGCGGCGUCCUCUAAUGGUGGCGGCGUGGAUAGGCCGGGAACUGUCCACUUUCCAGUCACAGUCUGGCAGCGAAUGUUGGAGGCCUGGGAGCGGCCCUUGUGCAGACUAAGAUCUCGCUCUGUCGCCGAGACUCGAGUGCAGUGGCGCGAUCUCGAUUCACUGCAACCUCUGCCUCCCAGGUUCAAGCGAUUCUCCUGCCUCAGCCUCCCCAGGAGCUGAGACUACAGAUGGAGUUUCGCUGUUGUUUCCCAGACUGGAGUGCAAUGGCACCAUCUCGGCUCACCGCAACCUCUGCCUUCUGGGUUCAAGCAAUUCUCCUGCCUCAGCCUCCUGAGUAGCUGGGACUACAGGCACGCACCACCACGACCAGCUAAUUUUUGUGUUUUUAGAAGAGACAGGGUUUCACCUUGUUGACCAGGAUGCUCUUGAUCUGUUGACCUCGUGAUCCACCCGCCUCAGCCUCCCAAAGUGCUGGGAUUAUAGGUGUGACCCACCGCGCCCGGCUUCACUCACAACUUUUAUCCCAGCACUUUGGGAGGAUGAGUGAGUGGAUCACCUGAGGUUAGGAGUUCAAGACCAGCCUGGACAACAUGGUGAAACCUUGUCUCUACUAAAAAUACAAAAAUUAGGUGGGCAUGGUGGCAGGUGCCUGUAAUAUCAUCUAAUCGGGAGGCUGAGGCUGGAGAAUCGCUUUAACCUGGGAGGCGGAGGUUGUGGUGAAUCGAGAUCGCACCACUGCACUCCAACCUAGGCAACAGAGUGAGAUUCCAUCUCAAAAAAAAAAAAAAAAAGAAGGAGAAAGAAAAGAAAGUUGACUAAGACAUGGUCUCCAUAUUCAGGUAGUUUUGUUUUGUUUUAUUUUGUUUCGUUUUGAGACAGAGUGUCACUCUGUCGCCCAGACUGGAGUGCAGUGGCUCAAUCUCAGCUUACUUCAACCUCCACCUCCCAGAUUCAAGUAAUUCUCCUGCCUCAGCCACCCAAGUAGCUGGGAUGACAGGUGCCUGCCACCACACCCGGCUAAUUUUUGUAUUUCUAGUAGAGACGGGUUUUCACCACAUUGGGCAGGCUGGUCUUGAACUCCUGAACUCAGGUUAUCUACCCAGCUCAACCUCCCAAAGUUCUGGGAUCACAGGUGUGAGCCACUGUGCCUGGCCAUAUUCAGGUAGUUUGUGAGUCAUGUCAACUACUCAAGAAUGUUCAGUUCUAAAAUUCCAGAACUCUCUUGGAAAGAAGGAGAGAAAAAUCAGAGUUUUGUGGAGAAAAUAGGAAGGAACUGUGUCCGGAAGUAUGGAGUAGAGGGGAAGGCAUUUCAUGCAAUAAAAGAAUGUGGCAGGAACACAUGUCAUUCCUCAGACUUUUUUAUUUAUUUAUUUAUUUUCUUUUUGAAACAGGGUCUUGCCCAGGCUAGAGUACAGUAGUGACAUCAUGGCUCACUGCAGCCUUUACCUCCAGGCCUCAAGUGAUCCUCUCACCUCAGCCUCCUGAGUAGCUAGGAUUACAGACACACACCACCAUGCCCAGCUAAUUUUUGUAUUUUAGUAGAGAUAGGGUUUUGCCCUGUUAGCCAGGCUGGUUUUGAACUCUGGACUUAAGCAAUCCACCUGCCUUGAUCUCCCAAAGUGCUGGGAUUAUAGACAUGAGCCACUGCACUCAGCCCUUUCCUCAGAUAUUUAUUUAGUGUUUAGGCCUCUUUCUCCAUUGUACCCCUUCACACACACACACACACACACACACACACACCUCUUUCUCCAUUGCACUCCUACACACACACACACACAAAACACGUGCGUGUCUUGUUGGUUCUACCUUCUAACUGUUCUUCAAUCAGCCAGCUUCCUUCUGUCUUCUCUGCCACUAUCCUACGCUAAGCUGCAAGUCUCUGGUCCUGACUUCUACAGCAGCCCCCUUACUGGUUUCCCUGCCGUGUGUUUUGUCUUCCCUCCAACCAGUUCUCCAUGUUGUACGUAGCCAGAGAGGUUUUAAAAUUGCAAAUCUAAGCUUGUCACCUCUCUUUUUUUUUUAUUUGAGAUGAAGUUUCGCUGUUGUUACCUGGGCUGGAGUGCAAUGGCACGAUCUCGGCUCACUGCAACCUCCGCCUCCUGGGUUCAAGCAAUUCUCCUGCCUCAGCCUCCUGAGUAGCUGGGAUUACAGGCACAUGCCACCAUGCCCAGCUAAUUUUUUGUAUUUUUAGUAGGGACGGGGUUUCACCAUGUUGACCAGGAUGGUCUCGAUCUGUUGACCUCGUGAUCCACCCGCCUCGGCCUCCCAAAGUGCUAGGAUUACAGGUGUGAGCCACCGCGCCCGGCCUAAUUUAUUAUUUGUUGAGACAGCUUCUCACUCUGUUGCUCAGACUAGAGUGCAGUGUCCCAGUAUCAGCUCACUGCAGCCUGUGCCAACCAAAUUCAAGUGAUUCUGGUGCCUCAGCCUCCCAAGUAGCUAAGACGACAGGCUACAUACAGGUCGUGUACCACCACUCAGGACUGACUAAUUUUUGUUUUAGUAGAGACAGGGUUUUGCCACGUUGCAUAGGCGAUCUUGAACUCCCGACCUCAAGUAAUCCACACUCGGCCUCCCAAAGUGCUGGGAUUACAGGUGUGAGCCACUUCGUCAGGCCCUGCCAAGGGUUUUUGUUGUUUUGUUUUGUUUGAGACAGAAUUUCACUCUUGUUGCUGAGGCUGGGUGCAGUGGGGCGAUCUCAGUUCACUGCAACUCUGCCCUCUGGGUUCAAGCAAUUCUGCUGCUUCAGCCUCCUGAGUAGCUGGGAUUACAGGCGACCGCCACCACACCCCACUAAUUUUUUGUAUUUUUAGUAGAGAUGGUGUUUCAUUAUGUUGGCUACGCUGCUUUCAAACUUCUGACCUCAGGUGAUCCACCCGUCUUGGCCUCCCAAAAUUCAGGUAUUACAGACAUGAGCCACUUCGCCUGGCCCUGGCCAAGUAUUUUAAUAACCAAUGGUUAAUACAGUCUUAUGAUACUCUUUCAGAUCUCUGAGCAAAAUAAAACUUAAUUCCCAAAAACCCACUUAAUAUUUCUUAUUUAUUUAUUUUGAAAGGCAGGGUUUCACCAUGUUGGUCAGGCUGGUCUUGAACUCCCAACCUCAGUUAAUCUACCCGCCUUAGCCUCCAAAGUGCUUGGGUUACAGGUGUGAGCCACUACACCCGGCCUUUUUUUUUUUUUUUUUUUGAGACGGAGUUUCGCUCUUGUUACCCAGGCUGUAGUGCAAUGGCACGAUCUCGGCUCACUGCAUCCUCCGCCUCCUGGGUUCAGGCAGUUCUCCUGCUUCAGCCUCCUGAGUAGCUGGGAUUGCAGGCACGAGCCACCAUGCCCAGCUAAUUUUUUGUAUUUUUAGUAGAGACAGGGUUUCACCAUGUUGACCAGGAUGGUCUCAAUCUCUUGACCUCGUGAUCCACCCGCCUUGGCCUCCCAAAGUGCUGGGAU